UUCUCAGCUUAGGUAAAACUACCCGCUGAAUUUAAGCAUAUAAUUAAGCGGAGGAAAAGAAACUAACAAGGAUUCCCCUAGUAACGGCGAGUGAAGCGGGAAAAGCUCAAAAUGUGAAUCUGCGUA
rnacentral:rRNA from 1 species